CGACAGAAGAGAGUGAGCAC
rnacentral:miRNA from 5 species